UACAGAGGCCUCGAGCGUUAGGCGGAAUCACUGGGCUUAAAGCGUGUGUAGGCGGACUUCUAAGUACCUUGUGAAAUCCCACGGCUCACCCGUGGAACUGCUUGGUAUACUGGUUGUCUUGAGCCUUCUAGGGGCGGGUGGAACAAAUGGUGGAGCGGUGAAAUGCGUAGAUAUCAUUUGGAACGCCAAUGGUGAAAACAACUCGCUGGGGAAGUGCUGACGCUGAGACACGAAAGCCAGGGGAGCGAACGCG
rnacentral:rRNA from 1 species